rnacentral:misc_RNA from 1 species
AAGAAGAGCUAGUAACUGAUUCAAACUGCGCCAUCCCAGUAACGACAACUUCGGGCUUCAGCUUCUUUAUCAGUUCAAUCAUCGAGUCAGAUUGACGUGGAGCUUCAAUAACAGUGAUGACAUCCUCCAAAUUACUAUCAGAUUGACUUUUCUCCAUCUUCAAUGAGGUCAGCCAUUGCCUAGGCAGGUGAUGUGACAGUUGGUCAUCCACAAUUGCAAGAUGUGGCAAGAAUAACCGCAACAGAUUCUCUAUCGCCACAGCCCUUGAAGGGAAGACAACGACAUUAUCAGCCAUAAGAGGAAAAUGGUGAUACGUUUUCAUA